UGGGGAAUAUUGCACAAUGGGCGCAAGCCUGAUGCAGCGACGCCGCGUGCGGGAUGGAGGCCUCGGGUUGUAAACCGCUUUGUUCAAGGGCAAGGCACGGUCUUUGGCCGUGUUGAGUGGAUUGUUCGAAUAAGCACCGGCUAACUACGUGCCAGCAGCCCGGUAAUCGCUAUCU
rnacentral:rRNA from 1 species